rnacentral:rRNA from 1 species
GCUAACUCCGUUCCAGCAGCCGCGGUAAUACGGAGGAUCCGAGCGUUAUCCGGAUUUAUUGGGUUUAAAGGGAGCGUAGACGGAUAGGCAAGUCUGGAGUGAAAGUUUGCGGCUCAACCGUAAAAUUGCAGUUGAUACUGGAUAUCUUGAGUGCAGUUGAGGCAGGCGGAAUUCGUGGUGUAGCGGUGAAAUGCUUAGAUAUCACGAAGAACUCCGAUUGCGAAGGCAGCCUGCUAAGCUGCAACUGACAUUGAGGCUCGAAAGUGUGGGUAUCAAACA